rfam:Limnothrix sp. P13C2 contig_53, whole genome shotgun sequence.
GGUGAUCAAACCUCUGAUGCCGUAAGGCGUUGAGCAC